UCCGAAUUGGUGUAGUGGCUAACAUUUGACGCUCUCAUAAACAUGAACCGUCAAGCCCGGGGUUCGAUUCCCCGAUUCGGAG